rnacentral:rRNA from 1 species
CAGCACCUCAAGUGGUCAGGAUGACUAUUGGGCCUAAAGCAUCCGUAGCCGGCGCUGUAAGUUUUCGGUUAAAUCUGUACGCUCAACGUACAGGCUGCCGGGAAUACUGCAGCGCUAGGGAGUGGGAGAGGUAGACGGUACUCGGUAGGAAGGGGUAAAAUCCUUUGAUCUAUUGAUGACCACCUGUGGCGAAGGCGGUCUACCAGAACACGUCCGACGGUGAGGGAUGAAAGCUGGGGGAGCAAACCGGAUUAGAGACCCGAGUAGUCC